rnacentral:rRNA from 1 species
AGUGAACGCUGGCGGUAGGCCUAACACAUGCAAGUCGAACGGCAGCACAGUAAGAGCUUGCUCUUACGGGUGGCGAGUGGCGGACGGGUGAGGAAUACAUCGGAAUCUACUUUUUCGUGGGGGAUAACGUAGGGAAACUUACGCUAAUACCGCAUACGACCUACGGGUGAAAGCAGGGGAUCUUCGGACCUUGCGCGAUUGAAUGAGCCGAUGUCGGAUUAGCUAGUUGGCGGGGUAAAGGCCCACCAAGGCGACGAUCCGUAGCUGGUCUGAGAGGAUGACAAGCCACACUGGAACUGAGACACGGUCCAGACUCCUACGGGAGGCAGCAGUGGGGAAUAGUGCACAAUGGGCGCAAGCCUGAUGCAGCUAUGCCGCGUGUAUGAAGAAGGCCGUCUGGUUCUAAAGUACUUUCAGCGGGGAGGAAGGGAGUAAAGUUAAUACCUUGGCUCAUUGACGUUACCCGCAGAAGAAGCACCGGCUAACCCCGGG